rnacentral:rRNA from 1 species
UACGUAGGUGGCAAGCGUUGUCCGGAAUUAUUGGGAGUAAAGCGCGCGCAGGCGGUCCUUUAAGUCUGAUGUGAAAGCCCACGGCUCAACCGUGGAGGGUCAUUGGAAACUGGGGGACUUGAGUGCAGAAGAGGAGAGCGGAAUUCCACGUGUAGCGGUGAAAUGCGUAGAGAUGUGGAGGAACACCAGUGGCGAAGGCGGCUCUCUGGUCUGUAACUGACGCUGAGGUGCGAGAGCGUGGGGAGCGAACCGG